CCUACGGGUGGCAGCAGUGGGGAAUAUUGCACAAUGGGGGAAACCCUGAUGCAGCGACGCAGCGUGAGUGAAGAAGUACUUCGGUAUGUAAAGCUCUUUCUGCAGGGAAGAAGAAAGACGGUACCUGACUAAGAUGCCCCGGCUAACUACGUGCCAGCAGCCGCGGUAAGACGCAGGGGUCAAGCGUGAUCCGGAUGUACUGGGUUUAAAGGGAGCGUAGACGGCUGUGCAAGUCUGAAGUGAAAGCCUAGGGCUCAACCCUGGGACUGCUUUUGAAACUGUGGAGCUAGAGUGCUGGAGAGGUAGGUGGAAUUCCUGGUGUAGCGGUGAAAUGCGUAGAUAUUAGGAAGAACACCAGUGGCGAAGGCGGCUUACUGGACAGUAACUGACGUUGAGGCUCGAAAGCGUGGGUAGCAAACAGGAUUAGAUACCCUGGUAGUC
rnacentral:rRNA from 1 species